GAUGAACGCUGGCGGCGUGCCUAAUACAUGCGAGUCGAGCGAACAGACGAGGAGCUUGCUCCUCUGACGUUAGCGGCGGACGGGUGAGUAACACGUGGAUAACCUACCUAUAAGACUGGGAUAACUUCGGGAAACCGGAGCUAAUACCGGAUAAUAUAUUGAACCGCAUGGUUCAAUAGUGAAAGACGGUUUUGCUGUCACUUAUAGAUGGAUCCGCGCCGCAUUAGCUAGUUGGUAAGGUAACGGCUUACCAAGGCAACGAUGCGUAGCCGACCUGAGAGGGGUGCUCGCCAACACGGAACCUGAAACCCGGCCCAGCCCCCACGGGGGGGCAGAAGUGGGGAAUCUCCCGAAAGGGGCGAAGGCCUGACGGAGCACCGCCGGGGGAGGAAUAAAGGUCUUCGGAUCUAAAAACUUUUUUAUGGGGAAAAAAAAAAUGUGAAAGUAAUUAUGCCCGUCUGGCGGGUACCAAAACAAAAACCCCCGCCUAACUCCGU
rnacentral:rRNA from 1 species